rnacentral:rRNA from 1 species
UGGGGAAUAUUGGACAAUGGGCGCAAGCCUGACCCAGCAACGCCGCGUGAAGGAUGAAGUAUUUCGGUAUGUAAACUUCGAAAGAAUAGGGAGAAUAAAUGACGGUACUAUUUAUAAGGUCCGGCUAACUACGUGCCAGCAGCCGCGGUAAUACGUAGGGACCAAGCGUUGUUCGGAUUUACUGGGCGUAAAGGGCGCGUAGGCGGCAAUUCAAGUCAUCUGUGAAAUCUCCGGGCUUAACUCGGAACGGUCAGAUGAUACUGCUUUGCUAGAGUGCAGAAGGGGCAAUCGGAAUUCUUGGUGUAGCGGUGAAAUGCGUAGAUAUCAAGAGGAACACCAGUGGCGAAGGCGGCUAACUGGUCCGGUACUGACGCUGAGGUGCGAAAGCGUGGGGAGCAAACAGGAUUAGAUACCCACGUAGUCCCUGAGCGGGCUGGCAAGGCGCAU